AUACGUAGGGGGCGAGCGUUAUCCGGAAUUAUUGGGCGUAAAGAGUACGUAGGUGGUUUUGUAAGCGUGAGGUGAAAGCCCGGGGCUUAACUCCGACGAGCCUCACGAACUGCAAGACUUGAGUGCAGGAGGGGAAAGUGGAAUUCCUAGUGUAGCGGUGAAAUGCGUAGAUAUUAGGAGGAACACCGGUGGCGAAGGCGACUUUCUGGACUGUAACUGACACUGAGGUACGAAAGCGUGGGGAGCAAACAGGAUUAGAUACCCUGGUAGUCCACGCCGUAAACGAUGAGCACUAGUUGUUGGGACCGAGAGGUUUCGGUGACGCAGUUAACGCAAUAAGUGCUCCGCCUGGGGAGUACGCACGCAAGUGUGAAACUCAAAGGAAUUGACGGGG
rnacentral:rRNA from 1 species